UCACUUACCUGGACGGGGUCAAUGGGUGAUCAAGAAGGUCCAUGGCCUAGGUUGGUGACUUCCAUUGCACUUAGGAGGGGUGCUUGCCUAAGGUCGGCCCAAGUGGUCGAGCCUACGUCAUAAUUUGUGGCAGUGGAGGCCUGCGUUCGCGCGGCCUCUG
rnacentral:snRNA from 1 species